rnacentral:rRNA from 1 species
GACAGAGGGUGCAACCGUUGUUCGGAAUUACUGGGCGUAAAGCGUGUGUAGGCGGUCCUCUAAGUCGGGUGUGAAAGCCCAGGGCUCAACCCUGGAAGUGCACUCGAAACUGGAAGGCUAGAGUACCGGAGAGGUUGGUGGAAUUCUCGGUGUAGAGGUGAAAUUCGUAGAUAUCGAGAGGAACACCGGUGGCGAAGGCGGCCAACUGGACGAGUACUGACGCUGAGACACGAAAGCGUGGGGAGCAAACAGG